UGGCCUCCCAGUUCUCGGUCCCGCCAAUCACGCUCAUCCCGCCCAUCCCGCGUCGGACUGCCGAUUUCCCCACGCUCCGCCCUAUCCGCGCCUCCGCCUGCCCUAGCGCAUCGCCGCCCAGGCCUGUCGUCGCCGUCCGCCGCACGCCGCCCGUCCGCCCGAGCUCGUCGUCCCCGGGGCCCGGCGCCCACGCGCGCGGCCGCCCAGGCCGGCCGCCGGCGCAGCGCCAGCGCCAGCGCUCCCGGCUGGCGGUCCGCCCCAGCUCUGCCGUUCCGGCCGCCUGUCGCGCGCCCACGCGGCGCAUGGGCGCAGGCCGCAGGGGCGCCGCGCGCUGCGCUCGGCAGGGCGCUCAGCGAGAGGGGCGGCCUCGCCUCGCAUCGACGCCGCGCGUUGUGGUGGUCGGCGGCGGGCCUCGCCUCGCAUCGACGCAUCCGCGACCUGGGCGUCGCCGGAGGAGAGCGGAGUUGUGGUGGUCGGCGGCGAGCCCGGCGGGUUCAUGGCGGCCACCCCCUUCUCCUUCCCUCCCCCUCGAUGUGUGCCCCCUUGAUCCGCAGCCCCCACAUGCCACCACCUUCUUCUCCUUCCCUCCCCCUCGAUGUGCGCCUGGCCUAGGUGGGCAAGCAGUUGGAGGGCGCGGAGGCGACGCGUGCGACGACCUCGUGGAGCGUGUUCCGGACGGCGAGGCAGAACACGUCGAAGAAGCUCAUCUCCUUGCCGUUGAGCCCCGCCUCCGAGCAGCGAUUCCGAUCAUUUCUACAAAGGACUUCUUGAUCUGUUGAGUGCUUGAGGGUGGGCAAAGAUCAUUUUGCCUUUUAUCUGAUCUGGGCCAUUCUAAAAUCUUGAUUUUGUUGUCAUGUGAACAUUGAACUGUUCUGAUAUGAGUGUCAUUGCUACCGAGUUCCAACAGUUGAAGAUGCCAAGAAGGAUAAAUUAAUGAUUUUGAAGCUAUGGUACUUAUUGUGAAUGGAGGCAGCGACACUCAUUGAUGACAUCAUUGGGGAUCCCAUUGCAUUGGACAGGUGAAAUUCCCUACAUAUGCAUUUUUUAUAACGCUAUACUACUCUAUUUGUCAUUGAGAGCAAAGAUAAUACUUUUUAGCUCAUGAUCUCUUAUUGUGUUAAAUCUUGUCAAGCUAACACGUUGAGUAAUAGUAUUGAGUAACAUAUUGAGUCAUUAUACCUUAUAGUUGAUCGUGGAGCAAGUGAUGCAUUUAGCUCCGAAUGUCUGAAAGAGAACAAGGUAACCACAGGAUAAACAUGAUAUGAGAAAUAGAUCGUAGAUGCCUUGUGGUGGAGUUAAUUUUACUGCAAAAUCUGAUCUGCAUGUUCUAGCAUAUAAUCCUGGCCUUCUGCAACUCCUUAGUGUUGUUCUCCAUCCUACUCCAUAUGAUGAUCAGAUCAUAUUAAGAGGAGGUGUAUCAGAUACACCUUUUUAUGCUCAAGCGUGAAAUAGUGGGGCAGAUGAAGAGAGGUGCUUGAGCGAGGAAGAACAUAAAAAAUGUGGUGUGAGUUGCUUGACUAGGAUGUUAAAUCACUACACCAGGAAAGAAUAAAUGUUUUUCAUUGAUCCUUGAUACAAGAGACAUAGAAGAGUUAAUUUGCUCGAUAAAAUCUUAUAUUAAAGCAUAUAUUAAGGCCAGGCCACAGCAUCUGUCUCGCCAUCAAUGACCUAAUCAUUGCUAUGCCCAGUGUCCUCAUCCACGCAAAAAAGUGAUCCUCACCUCCCUAGAGGCGGACAUGGACAAGGUCUUGGUCGACGCCGCGCAUGCCGUUGUCCAGGUGCCCGUAUUCAUGCAUAACAUUGCCCCAACUCCUACACCAGCAACCUGCACAAGUGGUUCUUAUGCCCUCCACAAUGGAUUCCUCUACAUCCCAAGGACGACCCCAUAGCCUCGCAGCUCCACCCCACUAUGUCGUGUGAGUACGACAAUGGCCGGGCUGCCCAUAGAGAGAGCACCCAACUCAUUGAGCCUGAUGCCAUUGACUUUAUGAGCAGGUUAGAGGGUGACAUUGAGGGGAUAAGCAGACCAUGACAAGGUGACGGGGAUGGCAUGGCUUGGAGUGUUGGCUCUCUCUAGAAAUGUGUGUAUGUAUGAUUAUGGUCAGGCUGCCUGGUUGCCUUGGCUUUGAGAGCGAUGAGGAUGCUAUGAUGGUGAGAAGGUGCUCUCUAACUGAAAGUGCAGUUGCAUUUAAUGUGUUCAUCACUCUUCAGUUUUCCUGUUAUUCUUUUUUGAGAGCCAGUGUGAUCUCCCAAGCAUGAAAGCAAAUGGCCAGGUCAGCUAACGUUUGAAUCUACAAGAUGUUUGUUGUUUUAGGCAACAGGAAAGUUUUCCCCUAAUGGAUAUAUUUUAUAUAUAGGGGGCGGCAUCCACGUGCACCACGACACGCCGCGCCUCCAUCUUGAUGAUUCAUCAAGUGAGUUUAUUCAUCUGAUUGUUUUCUAGACGUUUAUGUACUUAUCGUUUUGUUAGUGGCCUCCAUUAGGCUGGACAUGCUGCCGAACUUGAUUGAUUUCUUUAUGGGGAUCCAUCCGGACUGAGUUGAUUUCUUCUCUUUUCUCCCUAUAGAUGCUCUGGUCUUAGGGGGGAAAAAGAACAUGGAUACUAAAGAGUAAUUGGGUCCCUAUUUGUUGUUGCCUCUUGAGGAUGUUUUGUUUGCAAUUUUGCAGUCCGACCCAAAGUAAUAAAUUGAAUAAAAAGCUGAUUUAAAUCGUGGUUAAUACUCUCAUCCAAAGUUAAAUGGUUCAGGAAAGUCAAUUAAUGAAAGCCAAAAAUAAAUCUAAAAAUGCAACUACUCUGGAAGUGUGAAGAAAGGAAGCUGCCCCUGGGCGGCGGCGCAAGCGGGUGCGGAAGAGAAGACGAACCCGUGGUCGUCCGUCGCCUGGCCCUGAAGCUGCCGCCGAUCUCCCUUCCCUCGCGUCGAGUGAUGUGGAACGCCAGGGCACCGCCGCCGACCAUGCUCGAUGGACGUGCAAGGUGAUUUCGCGUUCAGCCGCCAUUGUUCAGCGUGAGGAGGACCUCGCCGGAAGGGCCCUUGUGGUGUCGGUGAUUGCGGAUUCCCCAGAAGGCCUCGCGGACUCCAUUGUGCCAGCGAUCGCACAUAGGUUUGAGAUCGAGGCCUUGAUAAGCUGUAACAUUUUGGGGGCGGUUCUCCGCCCUUUUUUCUUCUUAAUAUAUUAUGCGCAGUUCUCCUGCGUGUUGGAGAAAUUUUUUUUCAUAAAUUUUGUAUCGUUGUGGUUAAUUUAUUAUUAGAACUUCGAAUUGAAAUGUUCCAAUGGCCUGACUUCUUCAUAGGAGGUCAGUUUGCUUAAUAAGAGAGAGCGAAAGGGUGACCUGAA